CCUACGGGAGGCAGCAGUGGGGAAUCUUGGACAAUGGGCGCAAGCCUGAUCCAGCCAUGCCGCGUGAGUGAUGAAGGCCCUAGGGUCGUAAAGCUCUUUCAACUGUGAAGAUAAUGACGGUAGCAGUAGAAGAAACCCCGGCUAACUCCGUGCCAGCAGCCGCGGUAAUACGGAGGGGGUUAGCGUUGUUCGGAAUUACUGGGCGUAAAGCGUACGUAGGCGGACUAUUAAGUUAGAGGUGAAAUCCCAGGGCUCAACCCUGGAACUGCCUUUAAUACUGGUAGUCUUGAGUUCGAGAGAGGUGAGUGGAAUUCCAAGUGUAGAGGUGAAAUUCGUAGAUAUUUGGAGGAACACCAGUGGCGAAGGCGGCUCACUGGCUCGAUACUGACGCUGAGGUACGAAAGUGUGGGGAGCAAACAGGAUUAGAUACCCUGGUAGUCCACACCGUAAACGAUGAAUGCCAGUCGUCGGGUAGUAUACUAUUCGGUGACACACCUAACGGAUUAAGCAUUCCGCCUGGGGAGUACGGUCGCAAGAUUAAAACUCAAAGGAAUUGACGG
rnacentral:rRNA from 1 species